rnacentral:rRNA from 2 species
UAGGUGAACCUGCGGAAGGAUCAUUGUCGA